rnacentral:piRNA from 1 species
UUGCUCUGGUGCGAUCCUCCUCAGUC